rnacentral:sRNA from 1 species
GAAAGGUUUCGGAGGUGUCUCCAUGGUAGCCAUUGUAAUAGACCUAAACACAGGCACACAUUUUAAGCUCUAGGCUUAGACAUGAUACACAAUGACAAGAAGAAAUGAGGUGGACACGUCAGCAUCGUAACGGCGAGCAGGAGAAGUUCAUGCGGAGAAUGGAAGUGGCUCGUGGCAGUAAGGAAACAUGUUAUAAAAAAUUCUAUGUCUAAAAAUGGAAUUCGAAUCAAAUGUUCCAGAGAGCAUGAUGUAACCGAGAACACUCUGCAUGGAUUUUUAAAGAGUUAGAGCAAAUCACAAAGCAAGCUGAGGGGUAAAGCCACAGAAAGAUAAUUUUAUCGUUCUUUUAUGACGCAGAAGCGCCAUGUGAUUUUGAACGACAUCGGGCUCAUCAUGAGAGACCAAUGAUUACAGCACCAGAGCACAUGGAGGGGGCAGAGGAGACUGGUUGGCUGUUGACCCUUGGACACCAUGUGGCAUUUACUGUUUUGCAUAAACUUAGCCCAUCUAAUUAUCUUCACGGUUCCCCUUUUCCUGAGGUGAACACAGGGACUCUGAGAAGAUCUGUUUAUUUAAGCUUUGUCUGAGUUAAUGUCAUACCCAUCGCCAUCAGGCAAUGAAGACCAUGUUCUCCUGGGCAGCAAGAAGAUGAUGCAAAAGGCUUCACAGAGAUCGCUGGCUUUUAAGUCAGGAAACUGAGGCAGAGACAAAUAAAGUGUGCGGGUUCCUGACAGAGGAGAAAGGUACAUCCCAACCAGUCUGGUAGACUGAUGGCUUCUUAAUCCCCCCACGGUACAGCCAUGCUUGCUAAUUCAUUCCCACUUACAUUCCCUUCCAGAAAAAUGUAAGCUUUUGUCAUAUACACUAAUUUAUAAUUUGUUAAUAUAAGUGUAGUUAUUCAAGAAAUUUUGCAACUGCAUGUUUUUAAGUAAAAUGUAUUCUUUAACUUCAUUUAGCUCGCUGUUCCAUGUUACCUUAAAAUUAAAAAUAUGUAGAAA